rnacentral:rRNA from 1 species
GACGAACGCUGGCGGCGUGCUUAACACAUGCAAGUCGAACGGAAAGGCCCUGCUUUUGUGGGGUGCUCGAGUGGCGAACGGGUGAGUAACACGUGAGUAACCUGCCCUUGACUUUGGGAUAACUUCAGGAAACUGGGGCUAAUACCGGAUAGGAGCUCCUGCUGCAUGGUGGGGGUUGGAAAGUUUCGGCGGUUGGGGAUGGGCUCGCGGCUUAUCAGCUUGUUGGUGGGGUAGUGGCUUACCAAGGCUUUGACGGGUAGCCGGCCUGAGAGGGUGACCGGCCACAUUGGGACUGAGAUACGGCCCAGACUCCUACGGGAGGCAGCAGUGGGGAAUAUUGCACAAUGGGCGGAAGCCUGAUGCAGCAACGCCGCGUGCGGGAUGACGGCCUUCGGGUUGUAAACCGCUUUCGCCUGCGACGAAGCGUGAGUGACGGUAAUGGGUAAAGAAGCACCGGCUAACUACGUG